CAGAAAGUGCUAAUUAAAUCACAAAUAAUCGCAACAACAGCAGAUAUUAUAUUUUCAACAGAUAAUUAUUCAAAUUAUAAGGGACGCUUUAGUAAAAUGCUAAAGUAGUUUUGCGACAUUAAAUUUUUUAUUUUUAUUUAAUCAUUUUUCUAGUUGCUAUAUAGACAUUACAAGAGUAUAUGAGUUCUGCGUGCGCAUAAAGUACAUAUGGAGUUAUGGACAACAAUAGACAGAACAAUGAGCACUCAGAAUUCCAUAACUCCAUAACUCUAAGAUGUGAGGGUUCACCGACUCAAGAUGUGAACCCUCACAGAAUUCCUUUCUAUUUCCCCAUAAAGUAUAUAAAGUACAUGUGGGAAACUUUCAAGAUGUGACGGUUCACCUCACCCACUCUGGGUACAGAAUUCCUUUCUAUUUCCCCUUAAAAUUAAAAUUAUAUAAUACUAAAAGAGAAAAACAAACUGAAACACCGUUCAUAGAGCAGUGUGAUACCGAUUUUAUCCUGCUUGAUUUGUUUAAUUUCGUUUGGACCAUUUUUACACGUGUUGGUGAUCGAUGCUUCCUUUCUCUUUUCCUCUUUUCCAUACUCUUUUGCUUCUUCUUUUUCUAUCGAAGGGGAUGAAAACACCCCUCAUUUUCCAUCGACUUCUCUUUCUCGGUCUCAACAGGGAUGAGUUUCACAGCAGCUCAGAGUCUUACAUAUUUGAAAGUUGAAUCUAAGCCUUUCAAAACCUUUGUAAAAGUGCUGUCAAUUGUAAGGUAUUCCGUGCAACAGAGCUUGAUAGCAAUUUCGGCUUCGAGUUCAGAGAGAACUAGCUGCCAUAGUUCAAAUCCAAUUUCAAACCUUAUUUGUACGUCUUUUGUUUUAUCGCUGGUUAGCCAAAUUUUGUCAAUUUAGGCAAGUCGCACCAAUCUACCAUUGAAAGCUCUGGAGGCAGGGUGCCCAAUAAUUGACUCCAAUUUCCAAAUGAACACAAAGUCAUCUCGUCUACCAGAAGGGCAGGUACACUCAUGAAUCCCAACUGCCUUGCAUAGGAGUAAAAAAGAUUGUCCACAGGCAGAGAUGGUUUUAUGCUUGACCGAAUUGUUAAAAUUAUUUCAUGACGAGGCUGAAAAGGCUGGGGUGUUCCAACCCAGUUCCAGUUCUCUCUCGCCAGUUUUCAAGGAGCACAUCGUAGAUGGUAUGCUCACAGAACUCGCCUGCUUGCUUCUUCAGAUGCCUUCCGUGCAAUGUUUGAUGGUGAGAUUGAAGAUGUAAGUGUACUAAAUUGGAAGCUCAAGUAUUGAACAAUAUGAUUUACUUCAUUUGUUAGUUGAUUACUUGAGGAAAAAUGUACAUCCUCAUCUACAGAAAAACAAAGAAGAAAGAAGAGUGAAGUACUGAAUGUAGUGUGAUGAGUUGGAACAUGGAAAAUGAAUAUAUUUUUAUGUGAUUGUAUUUGUAUGAACAACUUAAUCCACAACUUUUUCUAUGUAAUGUAUUCUUCAAAUACCUAUCUGUUCAUUAUUACACAUAAGGAUGCAAAUAUACUUUGGUAAGGACGUAGAC